rnacentral:rRNA from 1 species
AUUGAACGCUGGCGGCAUGCUUUACACAUGCAAGUCGAACGGUAACAGGCCUUCGGGUGCUGACGAGUGGCGAACGGGUGAGUAAUGCAUCGGAACGUGCCCAGAGGUGGGGGAUAACGCAGCGAAAGCUGUGCUAAUACCGCAUGUGAUCUGAGGAUGAAAGCGGGGGACCAGGCAGCAAUGUUUGGCCUCGCGCCUUUGGAGCGGCCGAUGUCAGAUUAGGUAGUUGGUGGGGUAAAGGCCUACCAAGCCGACGAUCUGUAGCUGGUCUGAGAGGACGACCAGCCACACUGGGACUGAGACACGGCCCAGACUCCUACGGGAGGCAGCAGUGGGGAAGUUUGGACAAUGGGCGCAAGCCUGAUCCAGCAAUGCCGCGUGCGGGAAGAAGGCCUUCGGGUUGUAAACCGCUUUUGUACGGAACGAAAAGGCUCUGGCUAAUACCUGGGGCUGAUGACGGUACCGUAAGAAUAAGCACCGGCUAACUACGUG